UACGUAGGGUGCAAGCGUUGUCCGGAAUUAUUGGGCGUAAAGAGCUCGUAGGCGGUCUGUCGCGUCGGAUGUGAAAAUCCAGGGCUCAACCCUGGACCUGCAUUCGAUACGGGCAGACUAGAGUUCGGUAGGGGAGACUGGAAUUCCUGGUGUAGCGGUGAAAUGCGCAGAUAUCAGGAGGAACACCGGUGGCGAAGGAGGAUCUCUGGGACGAAACUGACGCUGAGGAGCGAAAGAGUGGGGAGCAAACAGG
rnacentral:rRNA from 1 species